UGAGGAACAUGACUUUCGGCGGGGGAUAGCCGGCCCAACGGCCGGGUAAUACCGCGUACGACCUCUCGGGGACAUCCCCGGUUGGUGAAAGCAGCAAUGCGCCGAUGGAGUGCCUCGCGGCCUAUCAGCUAGUUGGUGAGGUAACGGCUCACCAAGGCAACGAUGCGUAGCCGACCUGAGAGGGUNAUCGGCCACAUUGGAACUGAGACACGGUCCAGACCUCCGUACGGGGAGGNAG
rnacentral:rRNA from 1 species